CCUACGGGGGGCAGCAGUGAGGAAUAUUGGUCAAUGGGCGGGAGGCUGAACCAGCCAAGUAGCGUGAAGGAAGACGGCCCUACGGGUUGUAAACCUCUUUUAUAAGGGAACAAAGUGAAGGUCGGGAGCUGCUGUGUAAGUACCUGAUGAAUAAGGAUCGGCUAACUCCGUGCCAGCAGCCGCGGUAAUACGGAGGAUCCGAGCGUUAUCCGGAUUUAUUGGGUUUAAAGGGAGCGUAGGUGGGUGGUUAAGUCAGGUGGGAAAGUUUGCGGCGCAACCGUAAAAUGGCAGUUGAAACUGGGAGUCUUGAGUGCGCUAGAGGUAGGCGGAAUGCGUGGUGUAGCGGUGAAAUGCAUAGAUAUCACGAAGAACUCCGAUUGCGAAGGCAGCCUACUGGCCUGCAACUGACGCUGAUGCUCGAAAGUGUGGGUAUCGAACAGGAUUAGAUACCCUUGUAGUC
rnacentral:rRNA from 1 species